rnacentral:rRNA from 1 species
CACAGGGGAGCUUGCUCCCUGGGUGGCGAGUGGCGGACGGGUGAGGAAUACAUGGGAAUCUACCCUGUCGUGGGGGAUAACGUAGGGAAACUUACGCUAAUACCGCAUACGACCGAGAGGUGAAAGCGGCGGACCGCAAGGCGUCGCGCGACUGGAUGAGCCCAUGUCGGAUUAGCUUGUUGGCGGGGUAACGGCCUACCAAGGCGACGAUCCGUAGCUGGUCUGAGAGGACGAUCAGCCACACUGGGACUGAGACACGGCCCAGACUCCUACGGGAGGCAGCAGUGGGGAAUAUUGGACAAUGGGGGCAACCCUGAUCCAGCAAUGCCGCGUGUGUGAAGAAGGCCUGCGGG